UACGGAAGGCAGCAGUGGGGAAUAUUGCACAAUGGGCGCAAGCCUGAUGCAGCCAUGCCGCGUGUAUGAAAAAGGCCUUCGGGUUGUAAAGUACUUUCAGUCGUGAGGAAGGUGUUAAGGUUAAUAACCUUAGCAAUUGCGUUAGCGACAGAAGAAGCACCGGCUAACUCCGUGCCAGCAGCCGCGGUAAUACGGAGGGUGCGAGCGUUAAUCGGAAUUACUGGGCGUAAAGGGCACGCAGGCGGUUAAUUAAGUUGGAUGUGAAAUCCCCCGGGCUUAACCUGGGAAUGGCAUUCAAGACUGGUUAGCUAGAGUCUUGUAGGAGGGGGUAGAAUUCCAUGUGUAGCGGUGAAAUGCGUAGAGAUGUGGAGGAAUACCGGUGGCGAAGGCGGCCCCUGGACAAAGACUGACGCUCAUGUGCGAAAGCGUGGGGAGCAAAACAGGGAUUAGACUACC
rnacentral:rRNA from 1 species